GACAGAGGGUGCAAACGUUGUUCGGAAUUACUGGGCGUAAAGGGCGCGCAGGCGGCCUGGCAAGUCGAGUGUGAAAUCCCUCGGCUUAACUGAGGAAUGGCGCUCGAAACUACCUCGCUGGAGGGCGGGAGAGGGAAGUGGAACUCUCGGUGUAGGGGUGAAAUCUGUAGAUAUCGAGAGGAACACCGGUGGCGAAGGCGGCUUCCUGGCCCGUACCUGACGCUGAGGCGCGAAAGCGUGGGGAGCAAACAGG
rnacentral:rRNA from 1 species